CCACAGACUUCUCGUGAACAUGAAGUCUGAAGUGUUUUAGGGAGCUUAAUUUCUAACAGCGUUAAAAUGUUCUUGGUAGCUACAAUGCAAACCGUUGGACAAAAAGCUAUCAUGUGGUUUCCAGAUCAGAAAAAAAAUUGGAAGAGAAAAAACCCAGAAAUAGCAAGGGAGGGUGGGGAGGGAAGGACAAGAUAGCGAAUACUGAACUUGAAAUUUUAGCUUUUCGUUUUAGGAAAAGUGUGAUAAAUGUGUUUCUUUUCUCUUCUGAAAUAUAGCUUGGUCAUGACCAUAUGAGCUAGUUGGCUGUUACUCAUGUACACAGAUGCACGCACACACAGAAAUACAUCGACACGCAUCCUUUAAAAAAAAAAAAUAA